rnacentral:rRNA from 1 species
AUUGAACGCUGGCGGCAGGCCUAACACAUGCAAGUCGAACGGUAACAGGAAGCAGCUUGCUGCUUUGCUGACGAGUGGCGGACGGGUGAGUAAUAUCUGGGAAACUGCCUGAUGGAGGGGGAUAACUACUGGAAACGGUAGCUAAUACCGCAUAACGUCGCAAGACCAAAGAGGGGGACCUUCGGGCCUCUUGCCAUCGGAUGUGCCCAGAUGGGAUUAGCUAGUAGGUGGGGUAACGGCUCACCUAGGCGACGAUCCCUAGCUGGUCUGAGAGGAUGACCAGCCACACUGGAACUGAGACACGGUCCAGACUCCUACGGGAGGCAGCAGUGGGGAAUAUUGCACAAUGGGCGCAAGCCUGAU